rnacentral:siRNA from 1 species
UAAACAUGUUAUCCAGGAUCC